rnacentral:tRNA from 1 species
AAGGCGCUGGUUUAAGGCACCAGUCUCUUCGGGGGCAUGGGUUCGAAUCCCAUCGCUGCCA